AGCACUGAGCUCAUCACAAACCAUGGCAAAGGCUUCAGGACGGCAGGACACCAGGACAUUCCUGCAAGGGGUGCACAGCCCUCCCUUCCACAUACCUUGUGCAACCUCCCUGUAAAGCUGCUGGUGACAGUGACACCAUGUCCUCCUCAGUUUGUCUUAGAUCCUGAAGCCUGAGCAGUGUGCAAGGGCUCAGCCAAACCCGAUUUCAAUGGUGCCGUGCCCAUUCGCAUCAGACAAAGCCUAUGGAGAUCCAAAUCAGAAACCCUGCCCAUACCACUCCUUGUGGGUCACCGUGGGUUUCAGGAGGGAGGAAAAACUGUGGAACAAGAACACGCCAAGAGCCUGAAACCUCACAGAGGCAGCAAUUUAAAGGAUUUCAAAGGCUGUUUCCAUAAGCCUUUGGGGACUCCAAUGGAGCAUAUUGAUUAAA